rnacentral:rRNA from 1 species
UUGGGCGUAAAGAGCUCGUAGGCGGUUUGUCGCGUCUGCCGUGAAAGUCCGGGGCUUAACCCCGGAUCUGCGGUGGGUACGGGCAGACUAGAGUGCAGUAGGGGAGACUGGAAUUCCUGGUGUAGCGGUGAAAUGCGCAGAUAUCAGGAGGAACACCGAUGGCGAAGGCAGGUCUCUGGGCUGUUACUGACGCUGAGGAGCGAAAGCAUGGGGAGCGAACAGGAUUAGAUACCCUGGUAGUCCAUGCCGUAAACGUUGGGCACUAGGUGUGGGGGCCAUUCCACGGUUUCCGCGCCGCAGCUAACGCAUUAAGUGCCCCGCCUGGGGAGUACGGCCGCAAGGCUAAAACUCAAAGGAAUUGACGGGGGCCCGCACAAGCGGCGGAGCAUGCGGAUUAAUUCGAUGCAACGCGAAGAACCUUACCAAGGCUUGACAUGUUCCCGACCGGGCCAGAGAUGGUCUUUCCCCUUUGGGGCGGGUUCACAGGUGGUGCAUGGUUGUCGUCAGCUCGUGUCGUGAGAUGUUGGGUUAAGUCCCGCAACGAGCGCAACCCUCGUUCCAUGUUGCCAGCGGGUUAUGCCGGGGACUCAUGGGAGACUGCCGGGGUCAACUCGGAGGAAGGUGGGGACGACGUCAAAUCAUCAUGCCCCUUAUGUCUUGGGCUUCACGCAUGCUGCAAUGGCCGGUACAAUGGGUUGCGAUACUGUGAGGUGGAGCUAAUCCCAAAAAGCCGGUCUCAGUUCGGAUUGGGGUCUGCAACUCGACCCCAUGAAGUCGGAGUCGCUAGUAAUCGCAGAUCA